rnacentral:lncRNA from 1 species
AGCUUUAAAAAGACUGACUAAAGAACAUAAGGAAGAAGAAGACACAAAGAGAAAAUUAUAAUGAUAGAUUAUGGAGUUCUGUCACACCAAAAGGAGCAUGGGCAGGAAAUGUACAUUAUGGGUGAGCCAGUAUAAAAUGGCACAAAGUGGGGUCUAGCUGCUUUGUUUUCUUAUUCAUGACCUUCAUCUACCUUCCCUUUCAUCAAGUAAAUGGAAAUGUGUCAUUCUGAUUAACGGUGAUUGCUUCCUUGUCAUACAUCAACUAAAAUGAGAUGUUUCACCAUCAGAUUUAAGGGGACAUGGGCAUAUAUUUAAGAGGUAUUUUUUUAAAAGGCAUUCUUGAUUAUCCAUAUCACUUAAAAAAUUCUUGUCUUCUUCCCACCUCAUCCCCUUUUCCUGCAGAUCUUUAAAGGUAGAGAAAUGAUAUGACAUUCAGUGGUGGUUGAUUAUAGCCUUGUUGGUAUAGCUGUAUUGUUUACAAAAUUGGUGCAAUAAUGGUGACUCGUAACAGGAUUAUAAUAAGCCAGAAAAUAAUUCUAGCUGGCAAGCUCUGCAGUGAUUUUCCUACAGAAAUCACAC